rnacentral:rRNA from 1 species
GACGAACGCUGGCGGCGUGCUUAACACAUGCAAGUCGAACGGCAAGGCCCUGCUUUUGUGGGGUUCUCGAGGGGCGAACGGGUGAGUAACACGUGAGUAACCUGCCCUUGACUUUGGGAUAACUUCAGGAAACUGGGGCUAAUACCGUAUAGGAGCUCCUGCUGCAUGGUGGGGGUUGGAAAUUUUCGGCGGUUGGGGAUGGACUCGCGGCUUAUCAGCUUGUUGGUGGGGUAGUGGCUUACCAAGGCUUAGACGGGUCGCCGGCAUGAGAGGGUGACCGGCCACAUUGGGACUGAGAUACGGACCAGAGUCCUACGGGAGGCAGCAGUGGGGAAUAUUGCACAAUGGGAGGAAGCGUGAUGCAGCAACGCCGCGUGCGGGAUGACGGCCUUCGGGGUGUAAACAGCUUUCGCCUGUGACGAAGCGUGAGUGACGGUAAUGGGUAAAGAAGCACCGGCUAACUACGUG